AUAAACAAAUUAUAUAUAAAUAAACCUGACCACUGAAUUUUUAGAGAGUGCUUAUGCCUUCUUGGUUUUCCCAUUAAUUGUCCAUUGCUCCAGAUUAGUGAGCCUGCAGACAGAAGAGAGAGUAUUAUCUAACUAUACAGGUAAUCCUUGAUCUUCAACCACUUCAUUUACUGACCAUUCAAAGCAGUGGUGGGAUUCAAAAAUGUUUACUACCGGUUCUGUGGGCGUGGCAUGGGUUGGUGGGCGUGAGUUGGUGGGCGUGGCAAGGGAAGGAUAUUGUAAAAUCUCCAUUCCUUCCCCACUCCAGGGGAAGGUUACUGCAAAAUCCCCAUUUCCUGCCAAUCCUCAUUUCCUGCCAAUCAGGAGGCAGAGAAUAGAUGGGGGCUGGGCCAAUCAGAGGUGGUAUUUACCGGUUCUCCAAACUACUCAAAAUUUCCGCUACCGAUUCUCCAGAACUGGUCAGAGCCUGCUGAAUACCACCUCUGAUUCAAAGUUACAGUCACUCUGAAAAAAGCGACAUACAAUUGAUACUCAUACUUAUGACUAAACAGCAUCCCCCAUGUAAUCAAAAUUCAGGACCUUGGCAACUGGCAUAUAUUUAUAAUGGUUGUAAUGUCACCAUUUGCGACCUUCCCAGCUGACUUCCAAAAUCCCAGCAAAAUCUAUGGAGUAAGCCAGAUUAACUUAAUUUACUUAACUGCAGUGAUUCAGUUAAUAUCUGUAUUCUUAAAUGAAGAGUUACAUCUACAAAGUGAAAAUAAUAUCUAGUGCUUGGUGUCAAUGUUGAACACAUAUCGGUUCUAAUUCCUUGAAAUUAAGUCCACUCUGCAAAUCAUAGGAAUGUUUUAAGAGAUAUACUGUUACUCAGACUUCUAUACAGAUGCACUUGAAGAGAUAUGAGAUCUCUGGCAGUUGAAUAAACAAUAUCAUUAUUAAGGAGGAAAAUAGUAAAUUUUUCCACAGUAUUCUAGCAAAGUAGCAAAAUCCAAAUAUAGACUCCUAGAGUUGAAUGAGUUCCUGAAUCCAAUCCCAUUCUCAGGGUUGGAAUCAAAAUUAAAGCAACCCUGAACUGAUUCUAUACCCUCAUCUUAAAUUUCAUCUGAGAUAGAUGGAAGCAAUUCAGAGCCUUCUGUUUUAAAUGACAUCCUCCCAUUAUGUUUUUCAACUAUGCUAUCAUAUCUCUCUUUGUUUCAGUCUUUUCAAGGCUAAGUAUAUCCAGGGCAGAGUCCAUAAGAAUCUACCUUUUAGUCCUAGCCCAAUUGAUUAACUGAUAGUCCUUGAUUUAUGACCACAAUUGAGCCCAAACUUUCCAUUGCUAGGCAAGAUAGUUGUUAAGAGAGUUUUGCCCCAUUUCUAGUUUUGCCCAACCUUUCUAGCCACAGAGGUUAAGUGAAUCAUUGCAGUUUUCCAAGUUAGUAACAUGAUUAUUAAGUGAAUCUGGGUUCCCUAUUGUCUUUGCUUGUCAGAAGGUUGCAAAAGGUAAUCACAUGACCCUGUGACACUGCAACCAUCAUAAAUAUGUCAGUUGCCAAGUGUCUGAAUUUUGAUCGUGUUAACUAUGAGCAUGCUUCAACCGUCGUUAUGUGUAAAAAGUGGUCAAAAGUUACUUUUUUCAUUGUAAAUUUGAAUGGUCACUAAAUGAAUGAUUAUAAGUUGAGAACUACGUGUAAGGCUGUAAAUUUAAGGAUACUUUCUAGGUAGAUCUGUGGAUAGUGAUCCUCUUAAAGCUUAUUUGUGGAAUGUACUAUACUUUUGAAGAAAUGUACACACAAGUCUGAGCAGGAACUGGGGAAAUGAUGAAAGGAUUGCAUCUGUCUAUAUUUUUUGUAAUGAGAGACAGAUCCUUGAUUAAUCUUCAGAAUGUUGGCACCUGGUGUCUUAUGAGCAUCAGAAUUAAAUGGAGAAAUUCAAGAAAGAAACAAGACGUUCUUAGCUGACAAGCUUGGGGAAAGAGCUGCCAGUUUAGAAGUACCAGCCAAGAAAACGAAGAAUUUAUUUCUGAAAAAUAAUUGCUUUAUAUCUAUUAAGGCAAGAGUGGAUAGAUGUUCACUACAUAUUGAAUACACUCAUCAAUCAAACCUGUGAAGGCUUUUUAUUACAAAAAACAAAAACAAUCCGCCUAAGAAUUUCUUGAAAUAUAUUCCAAAAGACAUGGCCAAAAAAAGAGCCUUGGUGGCACAAUGGUUAGAAUGCAGUACAGGUAGUCCUCAACAUAUGACAAUUGAACCCAAAAUUUAUGUUGCUAAAUAAGAAAUUUGUUAAGUGAGUUUUGCCACAUUUUACAACUUUUAUUGCCACCUUUGUUAAAUGAAUCACUGCAAUUGUUAAAUUAGUAGCACGAUUGUUAAGUGAAUCUGGCUUCCCCAUUGACUUUGCUUGUCAGGAAAUCAUAAAAGGGGAUCACACUGUGACAGUCAUAAAUGUGAGUCAGUGGUCAAGUAUCUGAAUGUAAAUCACAUGACUAUAGGGAUGCUGAAACAGUCAUAAGUGCGAAAAAUGGUCCUAACUCACUUUUUUUCAGUGUCAUUGUAACUUCAAACGGUCACUAAAUGAACUGUUGUAAGUCGAGGACUAUCUGUAUUGCAGGCUAAUUCUGCCCACUGCCAGAAGUUCGAUCCUGAUGGGGCUCAAAGUUGAUUCAGCCUUCCAUCCUUCCGAGCAUUACAGAUUUCUCCAGAGAGCCAGGUGUUUUGCACACAAUGCAGGCAGCCUAUAAGAAUGUUCAACAGACCAAAGCUCUCCACUUCCUCCUAUAAUCACUUUGAUGAACAAAUAUAAUCACAAUCAGUUAAAUUAGAAUACAGUGAAUCAAGCUGAAGAAAUGUUUUUCAUCAAAAGGGAUCACAAGCUAUUUCAUCCUGGGUUAAAAUAUGAUGUAGCAGUAUUUGUCCAUGAUCAAUUUCUAGUGUUGCCUCUGUUUCUAAUGUUUAAGUAUUUCUUUUUUCAAGAAAAUAUGUAAAGGACAAUUUUAUGGGAAGAUAGAGAAUAAACCCAAGAGAUAUCAGAGAGAAGAAAGGAUGUACUUAAAAAGAGUCUAGUGUGACAGUACAAUUAUUGAAAUAAUUAUCAGUGAGGAAACAUACAUUUUAAAAAGCCAUAUUGUAGAAAAUGUAUGCUUAUAUAUAAAAUAGUGUAGAAAGUUAGCACACACCCCUCUCCUACAAAAAUGAAAUAUUAUAAAAAAUAUUAAAAAGGCAGAAUAUUGUAUUUUCCCUAAAGGAGAAACAUGUUCCUAAAGACAUAAACUCAGAGCCUCAGUUCCCUGCCCCCCCCCCCCCAAUAUUUUGGUGCCAAUCUAUCAACAAGAAAAAAGGCUGAGUCACUUUAUCUACAAAACAAAAGACCUUCACCUUCAGGACAUGAUAGGAUUAGUCCUCACUCAAGAACCAAACUAGACAGGAACCACUCGGGUGGUUGUUGUUGUUUUUUUGUUUUUUUUUUAAUAUGAAGAUAUUUGUUAUUGAUGGGGGCAGAUGGUAAUUGAAGAUACCGAACAUACUGUUGGAAUUAGGAUGUGAUGUUACCCUAACAUGGGUGAUGGAGUUUACAAUCCAGCUGAAUGACAUUAUAGAAGAUAUUAUAUGGAUUACAAGCCUAAAGUCUUUUUAAGAGGAUUUUAUUUACAUAAGGGAAUAUUUUUUAGGGGAGUGGGCAGAAGAAUAAAGAUAUUAAGAUUUAUUAAGUAUGGUAGUCUUGUAGGAAAGUGGGUGGAGACAGGUUAGUUUAUUGAUUGUUUAGUUUAAGAAAAGGGAUAUUAUGUUUAGAUAUGAAUAUACGUAAAAGAUUUGAGUUAAGAGAUAUAACGAUGAGGGUGAAGGAAAUGGGUAGACGAUGAACUGAAUAAAUGUUAAAUUAGGAUUUAUUAUAUAGUUUUAUAGCGGAAGGUUGUUUUGAAAUGUUAGAUUAAUAUACAUAAAAGAUUUGAUUUAUUAUUAUGUUAAAUUAGGAGUUAUUAUAUAAUGUUAUAGUAGAAUGUCAUUUUGAAAUGUAUAGUAUAGGGGGGAUAUGAUAAUUUUAUUAGAAAUAAAGGGUCAGUAUGUGGGGAUGGAGUAAGGGGAUGGUAAAGUAUUAUAUAAUCUGUUAUGAAUUUGGGUUUUAUUAUG